rnacentral:misc_RNA from 1 species
UUGCUUGUGUUGGUUGGUUGGAUCCUUGCUCUGGCAACGACGUCCAUUCUCACAUGCAUCUUCAGUCAUGUCUCUAGAUACAUACUAUCUCGAGUUCUGUAUUGGUUUCUUGUGUUGUGUACCUUAUGCAAUGGCAAUCGUUAGUCUAAAUGUUACAUUUCGCCUUUACUCGUCCCUUUUUGGGUUGAUGUAAGGUGAACCACGAAGUAAUCUUUGUGUCCCACUCUUCUCACAUUGAUUUGUGCUUGUAGUGUGGUGCAUAGGGCAUUUGCUUGAUCUCUUGGAUGCGGUGCAUUAUAUAUGGGCAUGAGGUCUCACGUCCUCUUUCUGCCCGAACAAAAGCUUUCAUCGCUUAGUUGCGAACGAUUGCGAUCCCCGUUUCGAGCCUUUUGGCAAGUACGGUGAUGGCUUCGUUGAGGAAUGCUACCUGGUUGAUCCUG